rnacentral:rRNA from 1 species
AUUGAACGCUGGCGGCAGGCCUAACACAUGCAAGUCGAACGAGUGGCGGACGGGUGAGUAAUGUCUGGGAAACUGCCUGAUGGCGGGGGAUAACUACUGGAAACGGUAGCUAAUACCGCAUACCAUCAGAUGUGCCCAGAUGGGAUUAGCUAGUUGGUGGGGUAACGGCUCACCACGGCGACGAUCCCUAGCUGGUCUGAGAGGAUGAUCGGCCACACUGGAACUGAGACACGGUCCAGACUCCUACGGGAGGCAGCAGUGGGGAAUAUUGAGCAAUGGGCGCAAGCCUGACGCAGCCAUGCCGCGUGUAUGAAGAAGGUCUUCGGAUUGUAAAGUACUUUCAGCGGGGAGGCGGUACCCACAGAGAAAGCACCGGCUAACUCCGUGCCAGCAGCCGCGGUAAUAC